CAGACUCCUACGGGAGGCAGCAGUGGGGAAUAUUGCACAAUGGGCGCAAGCCUGAUGCAGCGACGCCGCGUGGGGGAUGACGGCCUUCGGGUUGUAAACUCCUUUCGCUAGGGACGAAGCUUUUUGUGACGGUACCUAGAUAAGAAGCACCGGCUAACUACGUGCCAGCAGCCGCGGUAAUACGUAGGGCGCAAGCGUUGUCCGGAAUUAUUGGGCGUAAAGAGCUCGUAGGCGGUUUGUCGCGUCUGCUGUGAAAACCUAAGGCUCAACCUUGGGCUUGCAGUGGGUACGGGCAGACUAG
rnacentral:rRNA from 1 species